rnacentral:rRNA from 1 species
AGUGAACGCUGGCGGUAGGCCUAACACAUGCAAGUCGAACGGCAGCACAGUAAGAGCUUGCUCUUACGGGUGGCGGGUGGCGGACGGGUGAGGAAUACAUCGGAAUCUACUUUUUCGUGGGGGAUAACGUAGGGAAACUUACGCUAAUACCGCAUACGACCUACGGGUGAAAGCAGGGGAUCUUCGGACCUUGCGCGAUUGAAUGAGCCGAUGUCGGAUUAGCUAGUUGGCGGGGUAAGGGCCCACCAAGGCGACGAUCCGUAGCUGGUCUGAGAGGAUGAUCAGCCACACUGGAACUGAGACACGGUCCAGACUCCUACGGGAGGCAGCAGUGGGGAAUAUUGGACAAUGGGCGCAAGCCUGAUCCAGCCAUACCGCGUGGGUGAAGAAGGCCUUCGGGUUGUAAAGCCCUUUUGUUGGGAAAGAAAAGCAGCAGGUUAAUACCCCGCUGUUCUGACGGUACCCAAAGAAUAAGCACCGGCUAACUUCGUG